AUUGAACGCUGGCGGCGUGCCUAAUACAUGAAAGUCGAACGCAGUGGGGACGGGUGAGUAACACGUGGGUAACCUCCCAUCAGAGGGGAUAACACUUGGAAACAGGUGCUAAACCGAUAGUGAUGGACGGACCCGCUGGGCAUUAGCUAGCGGGUGGGGUAACGGCUAACCAGGGCCACGAUGCAUAGCCGAGCUGGGAGGGUGACCGUCCACACUGGAACUGAGACACGGCCCAGACUCCGACGGGAGGCAGCAGUGGGGAAUCGUCGGCAAUGGACGAAAGUCUGACCGAGCAACGCCGCGUGUGUGAAGAAGGUUUUCGGGUCGUAAACCUCUGUUGUUAGGGAAGCGGUAUCUAACCAGAAAGCAACGGCUUACUACGUGCCAGCAGCCGCGGUAAUAC
rnacentral:rRNA from 1 species